UGCGUAGGUGGCAGAUCAAGUCUGGAGUAAAAGGUAUGGGCUCAACCCGUACUUGCUCUGGAAACUGAUCAGCUAGAGAACAGAAGAGGACGGCGGAACUCCAUGUGUAGCGGUAAAAUGCGUAGAUAUAUGGAAGAACACCGGUGGCGAAGGCGGCCGUCUGGUCUGGAUUCUGACACUGAAGCACGAAAGCGUGGGAGCAAAUA
rnacentral:rRNA from 1 species